rnacentral:tRNA from 1 species
GCCUCCGUAGCUUAGUAGGUGGAGCGCGCGGCUGUUAACCGCGAGGUCGCCAGUUCGAGUCUGGCCGGAGGCG